rnacentral:rRNA from 1 species
UACGUAGGGUGCAAGCGUUGUCCGGAAUUAUUGGGCGUAAAGAGCUCGUAGGCGGUUUGUCGCGUCUGCUGUGAAAACCCGAGGCUCAACCUCGGGCCUGCAGUCGAUACGGGCAAACUAGAGUACUGCAGGGGAGACUGGAAUUCCUGGUGUAGCGGUGAAAUGCGCAGAUAUCAGGAGGAACACCGGUGGCGAAGGCGGUGGUCUGGGCCGGCACUGACGCUGAGGAGCGAAAGCGUGGGGAGCGAACAGG